rnacentral:rRNA from 1 species
UACAGAGACUGCAAGCGUUAUUCGGAUUCACUGGGCGUAAAGGGUGCGCAGGCGGCCAAGUGUGUGAGGCGUGAAAGCCCGGGGCUUAACCCCGGAAUUGCACCUCAAACUACAUGGCUAGAGCAUUGGAGAGGGUAGCGGAAUUCACGGUGUAGCAGUGAAAUGCGUAGAUAUCGUGAGGAACACCAGAGGCGAAGGCGGCUACCUGGACAAUUGCUGACGCUCAGGCAACGAAAGCGUGGGGAGCAAAAGGG